AUGUCCUUGUGUUAUUUGCCAGUGGAAACUUAUUAAACUGGUAAUCGUCAAAAAGGACAGACAACAAAAUUGAGGCAACUCGUUAUUGUUUUUCUUGAAUUUCCAAAAGAGAAAAGCAUAUUCCAUAUGCCGCAAAC